UCUCUAUUCCUUUUCUUUGCUCUUGUUUCUUUCUUCUUCCCUUUUUACACAGCAACACCUCUCUCUCACUCUCUCACCGAAAAUCAUAGACAUCUCUCUUUAAAAAGAAACUGAAAGAGUAACACUAAAAUUUUAGCAUCAAAGUUUGUGGGUGGUGAGAACGAGAACAUGGACACUUGAGCUCCUCUUGUACAAUCUCUCGCAUCUUCUGUUUUCAGAUUCUUCUUGGAAGCAGCGAGAGUAUUAGAGGUGGCAAGGAUUCUGUAAUUGUUGUUUGUUAGAAUGUAGAGUUUUUUUUUUUCUUUUUUUUCUUUUUUUUUUGUUGUAUAGUAGUUUAGCUCUUUUGUUGUAUAGGAGGAAUCAAGAUGUACUUGAUCUUUGAGCACGGAUGUAAUUCAGUACCUUAGUUUGUUUUGAACCUCAGUUGUAUGUCUUUGAGGUUAGAUUUGUAAUAAGAGUUUUGCUAAACGUUUAGCUAUGUAAUAUUUACACAGAUACCUUAAGUUUCAGCCAGGUGGUAAUUUUCCAAGCUCAAUGGAAAUGAAAUUUCAAGGUUUUCAUCA